rnacentral:rRNA from 1 species
CCAACCUGUCCUAGGGUGAGGGACAACCCGGGGAAACCUGGGCUAAUACCGCAUGAUGUCGCGCUUCCGCAUGGUGGUGCGAUCAAAGAGGGCCUCUGCUUGCAUGCUCUCGCCCAAGGAGGGGGUCGCGACGUAUCAGCUUGUUGGUGGGGUAACGGCCCACCCAGGCUACGACGCGUAGCGGAUCUGAGAGGAUGAUCCGUCACAUUGGGACUGAGAUACGGCCCAG